UUCAAACAAUUGUAGAAUGAGCAGCAAGAUAAUUUCAAAUUAUUGUAGAGAAAAUCAUGUGACUGGAUGUCACAAAUGAUGUCACAGUGGCAGGCUGAAAUUAAACUCUUGCUGUACUUCAACAACAUUAUACAUUCUGGCUACUCCGCACACUUCAGCUAUGAUAACUUUUGGCUUUCUUCGAUAUUUGCUACUUUUAUUCACAGGGUGUACUGAGGCAGUUGACAUAAUUCAGCAUCCUAAAGUCAUCUUAGUGUCGAAUGUGGGCAAAGCUGUGACUUUACACUGCAAUCACAAGGAUAGCACGCAUCUUCGUUUAUUCUGGUAUCGUCAAUCUGAAAGCAAAGCAUUGACUUUAAUAGCAUUUUCGUAUGGCUCUAAAGAUGAGCAGUAUGAAGAUGGGUUUAAAGACGACUUUAAAUUAACCAGAGCUGAAAUCCUGGAAUCUUCCUUAAAAAUAAAUCGUGUCAAGCCUGAAGACACUGCAGUCUAUUAUUGUGCAACAAGUGUGACACACUGGCACAGAGCUGAGUAAAUAUGUUACAUAAACCAACAGAAAAAUAAAUUACAGACAGGAA